AGAAAAAAAACACAAAAAAG
rnacentral:sRNA from 1 species